rnacentral:tRNA from 1 species
GGAGGGUACAGCUCAGUGGCAGAGCACAUGCUUAGCACGCAUAAGGUCCUGGGUUCAGUCCCCAGCAUCUCCA